CGCUAAUACCGCAUACGACCGAGAGGUGAAAGCGGGGGACCGAAAGGCCUCGCGCAGCAGGAUGAGCCGAUGUCCGAUUAGCUGGUUGGUGGGGUAAUGGCCUACCAAGGCGACGAUCGGUAGCUGGUCUGAGAGGAUGAUCAGCCACACUGGGACUGAGACACGGCCCAGACUCCUACGGGAGGCAGCAGUGGGGAAUAUUGGACAAUGGGGGCAACCCUGAUCCAGCAAUGCCGCGUGUGUGAAGAAGGCCUUCGGGUUGUAAAGCACUUUUAUCGGGAGCGAAACGCGCCGGGUUAAUACCUUGGCGAACUGACGGUACCCGAGGAAUAAGCACCGG
rnacentral:rRNA from 1 species